CAGCUGAAGCCGGUGGCCACGGACUCGCUGCCGCAGCUAAGGAGCGGCGGGCGACCCCGCAAGACUAUUGCGCCCUACAGGUGUCGCUGUAAACAGAACUGUGGCACUCUCCGGUGCGGCUGCAGGAGAGCGGGAUUAGCAUGCUCUCGCCACAACUGCGGCUGCGACCACCGCAUCUGCAAAAACGGCAGCCACGCGGUGCUCAAGGAGAUGGGUGGCACUGGGCUGCUGUCUGGGCUGUCGGACCCCUCUCUGCUCACCAACGCCAGCCCCCCCGUUCAAGAGCCACGCGCCAGCGGAGGCAGCACCAGCGGUCGCACCAGCGGAGGUGGUGGUACCAGCGGUGGUGGUGGUGGUGGUGAUGAUGAUGGUGGUGGUGGUGCUGCUUCUGGAGCUGGGUCACUCGGGGCUCAUGGCCGCCUGCUCGCCCGUGCCGCCCAUGUAACGUAGUCGCGGCGACGGCGGCGUCUCACACGUUGUUGUUGUUGUGUGUUGUUGUGCUUCCUCCGACGAGCGCGGUUUGGCUUGCUGCGUUACGGCGGUGCGAAAGCCGUUCCACGCGUACACACACCAACAACUACCUACACAACAACAACUACCUACACAACAACAACAACAACUACCUACACAACAACAACAACUACGUACACACCAACAACUACGUACACACCAACAACUACGUAGACACACCAACAACUACGUAGACACACCAACAACAACUACGUACACAACAACAACUACGUACACACCAAACAACUACGUACACACCAACAACUACGUCAACAACAACAUCCGCCGUUCACCACUAAGUGGCAGUGACAGCGCUUGUGCCAGGCUAGGUGCACGUUGAGGCCACCACGUGAAGUGUCAAACGCCCCCCGCCGGCAGGAGGUCACGUGGCAGACCCAGCUGGUGCCACGUGUCGACUAAGAUGACUGGCCGAUGCACCACCUGUGCCAGGCUAGGUACAGGAGGUCACGGGGCAGACCCAGCUGGUGCCACGGGUCGACUGACCGAGACGACUGCCCGAUGCACCAGCUGUGCCUCCCACUGUGCCAGGCUAGGUGCACGCAAAAGACAAAAAUCCCCCGUAUAGCCUGAACAGGCUGUCGGGGCAAAUGCUUGCUGCUGCUGCUGCUUAGUUGAGUUGGCUCUGCAAGCGUGCGGUGGUGGCGGUGGUGGUGGUAAACGUCGCACUGUGUGUGUGUGUGGCAAGGCCGUUGUCCGUGAGCUUUUGUCGGAGGGGAAAAAUGUUUAGCUGCCAGAGUGUGUCACGCCGUGUCCGUCUUUCUCGCUGUCUCUCUUGUUGUUUUUCUCGCUCUGUCUUUGUCUGUCUCUCUGUCUGUGUGUGUCUCUGUGUGUGUGUGUCUGUCUCUGUGUGUGUGUUUGUAUGUCCGUCGACUCGAUGGUUGCGUGAUGAUGAUGGAUGCACUGAGUCGGUUCGGAUGGAUUUAGAGUUCCACGGUUCAGCCACACGUGACGAAUUAGCAGCAGGCAAGAUUGUCCGGGUGUGUAGUGUGUGUGUUGUGUGUGUGUGUGGUGUGUGUCCAGUGUGUGUGUGUGUGGUGUGUGUGUGUCCAGUGUGUGUGUGUGUGGUGUGUGUGUGUCCAGUGUGCUGUGUGUGUGGUGUGUGUGGUGUGUGUGUGUCCAGUGUGCUGUGUCAUGUGUGUGGUGCGUUGUGUGUGUGUGUGGUGCGUUGUGUGUGUGUGUGGUCCGUUGUGUGUGUGUGUGUCUGUGGUGCCUUGUGUGUGUGUGGUGUGUUGUUUGUGUGUGUGUGUGGUGUGUUGUUUGUGUGUGUGUGGUGUGUUGUUUGUGUGUGUGUGGUGCGUUGUUUGUGUGUGUGUGGUGCGUUGUUUGUGUGUGUGUGGUGCGUUGUGUGUGGUGUGUGUGGUGCGUUGUGUGGUGCGUUGUGUGUGGUGUGUUGUGUGGUGCGUUGUGUGUGGUGUGUUGUGUGGUGCGUGGUGUGGUGCGUUGUGUGUGGUGCGUGGUGUGUUGUGUGGUGCGUUGUGUGUGGUGCGUGGUGUGUUGUGUGGUGCGUGGUGUGUUGUGUGUUGUGUGGUGCGUUGUGUGUGUCUCUUCAAUGAUGUGUAAUGUGUGAGUAUGAAUGUACCUAUUGUCAUUUUAACACAGACGCUUUCGCUACCAAUGUCAUCCGUAAUUGAGGUUGUGUUUUUUUGGGGUGGGGGGGGGUGUGGGGUCUUAGAUCGUGUAAGUAUAUGAAUGUGUCGUUAAACCCGCCACCACCCGACACAGCCACCUAGUGAACGUGAGUGUCGUGUGAAUAGCACGGGGCCGGUUCGUCACGAUCACAGCACACAGCCUAGUGUAGUGUAUAGUGUAGUGUAUAGUGUAGUGUAUAAUGUUGUAUACUAGUACAGCACUAGUGUGUAGUGUAUAGUGUAGUAUACUAGUACAACACUAGUGUAUAGUGUAGUAUACUAGUACAGCA